UACAGAGGUGGCAAGCGUUGUUCGGAAUUACUGGGCGUAAAGGGCGCGUAGGCGGCCUGGUCAGUCGGAUGUGAAAGCCCGGGGCUCAACUUGGGAAUUGCGCUCGAAACUAUGGUGCUGGAGUGUGGCAGAGGAAGGUGGAAUUCCACGUGUAGCGGUGAAAUGCGUAGAGAUGUGGAGGAACACCGAUGGCGAAGGCAGCCUUCUGGGCCAACACUGACGCUCAUGCACGAAAGCGUGGGGAGCAAACAGG
rnacentral:rRNA from 1 species